GUUUGAUCCUGGGCUCAAUUGAACGCUGGCGGCAGGCCUAACACAUGCAAGUCGAGCGGUAGCACAGAGAGCUUGCUCUCGGGUGACGAGCGGCGGACGGGUGAGUAAUGUCUGGGAAACUGCCUGAUGGAGGGGGAUAACUACUGGAAACGGUAGCUAAUACCGCAUAAYGUCGCAAGACCAAAGUGGGGGACCUUCGGGCCUCAUGCCAUCAGAUGUGCCCAGAUGGGAUUAGCUAGUAGGUGGGGUAACGGCUCACCUAGGCGACGAUCCCUAGCUGGUCUGAGAGGAUGACCAGCCACACUGGAACUGAGACACGGUCCAGACUCCUACGGGAGGCAGCAGUGGGGAAUAUUGCACAAUGGGCGCAAGCCUGAUGCAGCCAUGCCGCGUGUGUGAAGAAGGCCUUYGGGUUGUAAAGCACUUUCAGCGGGGAGGAAGGCG
rnacentral:rRNA from 1 species